rfam:Heterocephalus glaber contig60895, whole genome shotgun sequence.
GGAUGUGAGAGCGAUCUGGCUGCGACAUCCGUCACCCUAUUGAUAGCCCAGGUUGAUGCACCUGGCUAGCCGGGUGUCCCCUUCCUCCCUCUCUACUCCACUUGGGUCCCUCCUGAAGCUGCGCGCUGCAGCAGCUGAAGAGGAUGACCCCGCCCCCCAACCCGCCAACCAACACUCCCAAUAGAGAAGGACUGUUUCCUCCAUCAAGGGUAUACAAGUAGCUGCACACCCCUGCUAAAACCUCCUUAAAAGCUCUCAAGAAAUGGCUUUAUAUGGGGCCGGGGAUUUAGUUCAGUGGUUCCGGCGCCUGCCUC